GUAUUUAAAUGCUGUUAAGCGUUUGAACAUUCAAUAAUAAAUAUAGUGUAUGUGUGUAAAGGAGGACAUUUCAACAAUUGCUUGUCUACUAAUCCUCCUUCAAGAGUGCACAGGUGUAUAAAGGAUGAGAGGGUAAGCACAUGCGAGUAAACGCCAGCUCAACCCUCAAAGGUUCAUUAAUGAUCCUUCCGCAGGUUCACCUACGGAAA
rnacentral:misc_RNA from 1 species